rnacentral:rRNA from 1 species
GAUGAACGCUGGCGGCGUGCCUAAUACAUGCAAGUAGAACGCUGAAGCUUGGUGCUUGCACCGAGCGGAUGAGUUGCGAACGGGUGAGUAACGCGUAGGUAACCUGCCUCUUAGCGGGGGAUAACUAUUGGAAACGAUAGCUAAUACCGCAUAAAAGUCGAUAUCGCAUGAUAUUGAUUUGAAAGGUGCAAAUGCAUCACUAAGAGAUGGACCUGCGUUGUAUUAGCUAGUUGGUGAGGUAACGGCGCACCAAGGCGACGAUACAUAGCCGACCUGAGAGGGUGAUCGGCCACACUGGGACUGAGACACGGCCCAGACGCCUACGGGAGGGAGCAGGAGGGAAUCUUCGGCAAUGGGUGCAACCCUGACCGAGCAACGCCGCGUGAGUGAAGAAGGUUGUCGGAUCGGAAAGCUCUGUUGUAAGAGAAGAACGAGUGUGAGAGUGGAAAGUUCACACUGUGACGGUAACUUACCAGAAAGGGACGGCUAACUACGUG